rnacentral:piRNA from 1 species
UUUAAUCCAAAUCUUCCCACUCAAGGACCA